rnacentral:tRNA from 1 species
GAUGCUGCGCCGGAAGAACGGAUAACUUUGAUGACGUUAAUUAUGAGGAAUCCCUCCAGCAUCU